CACGGGGGGAGCAAGCGUUGUUCGGAAUUACUGGGCGUAAAGGGCGCGUAGGCGGCCUUCUAAGUCAGACGUGAAAUCCCCCGGCUUAACCUGGGAACUGCGUCUGAUACUGGAAGGCUUGAGUGCGGGAGAGGGAUGUGGAAUUCCAGGUGUAGCGGUGAAAUGCGUAGAUAUCUGGAGGAAUACCGGUGGCGAAGGCGGCAUCCUGGACCGGCAUUGACGCUGAGGAGCGAAAGCUAGGGGAGCAAACGGG
rnacentral:rRNA from 1 species